rnacentral:rRNA from 1 species
CUACGGGGUGCUGCAGUAGGGAAUAUUGCUUAAUGGGCGAAAGCCUGAAGCAGCAACGCCGCGUGUGCGAUGAAGGCCCUCGGGUCGUAAAGCACUUUUUGGGGGGAUGAGGAAGGACAGUACCCCCAGAAUAAGCCUCGGCUAACUACGUGCCAGCAGCUGCGGUAAAACGUAGGAGGCGAGCGUUAUCCGGAUUUACUGGGCGUAAAGCGCGUGCAGGCGGCACGGUAAGUUGGAUGUGAAAGCUCCCGGCUCAACUGGGAGAGGUCGUUCAAUACUGCCGAGCUAGAGGAUGGGAGAGGGAGGUGGAAUUCCAGGUGUAGUGGUGAUAUGCGUAGAUAUCUGGAGGAACACCAGUGGCGAAGGCGGCCUCCUGGCCCAUUUCUGACGCUCAGACGCGAAAGCUAGGGUAGCAAACGGGAUUAGAUACCCCCGUAAUC